GUGGAUGAUGGAGGUCAAUUUAAAGAAAACUAAAGUUAUGAUUUUCCAGAAACCAAUGUCAAAACAACAAACUCCACAAUUUCUAUUUGCAAACAAAAUACUUCAAGUAACACAAGAUUACAACUAUUUAGGUCUUAAACUUACAACCAAUGGGAAAUUUACCAUAGCAAUGAAACAACUUGCUGAUAAAGCAAAACAUGCUAUGUUCAGCACAAAGAAAAAAGUUGAUUUUCACUCACUGAAUCCAAAACUAGCAAUCAAAAUUUUUGACAGUAUUAUCUCGCCAAUACUUCUAUAUAAUUCAGAAGUAUGGGGUGCAUUCAUUAAUAGCGAUCUUAAUAAAUGGGAUCAAUCCGAAAC